AAGUCCCGCAAGGGAUAAGUAGAGUGGCAAACGGGUGAGUAACACGUGGGUGACCUGCCUUCGAGUGGGGGAUAACGUCCCGAAAGGGACGCUAAUACCGCAUAACAUGCUGCCUUUUAACAGGCGGACAUCAAAGCUGGGGAUCGCAAGACCUAGCGCUGGAAGAGGGGCCCGCGUCUGAUUAGCUAGUUGGUGGGGUAAUGGCUCACCAAGGCAACGAUCAGUAGCCGGCCUGAGAGGGCGGACGGCCACACUGGGACUGAGACACGGCCCAGACUCCUACGGGAGGCAGCAGUGGGGAAUUGUUCGCAAUGGGCGCAAGCCUGACGACGCAACGCCGCGUGGAGGAUGAAGAUCUUCGGG
rnacentral:rRNA from 1 species